UAAACCAAAUAUUUUAUGGCGAAAUGAAAAAUGGACGCAGAAAUAUUAGAGUCAGUGAAUAUAUUCCUGGUUGGUAUACUAUUUUCUGACAAAAACAGCGUUUACAAUUGUGUUUGCAUAUGUCAUAAAAAUUGAACCGAUUGAGGAGGAGUUCCUCAGCGUUAUUGUUUAUAAAACGAACGGCAAGGUGGAGAAGUCUUGUUUAUGCCUCCUUGAAUAUCAAAUCCGGUCGUUAUAUGCAGUUGCCUGAGCAAUUUCACCCGGUUGCCUCAGUAGCGCAACGCAAUGAAGCUGGACGGGAAGUGACGCUGGUUGAGUACCUGUCUGGUGUUGUGCAUAGAUUCCAAUGUUUUUAAAAUAACUUUGUACACAGUACGGCAUCCGAGCAUCCAAUGCAGGAAAUUAUAUAACAAAUACUUCAAAUACUUUAAGAGGAAGUAGAAGUGAUCUUUCCACGUAUAUAUCAUCAAACACCCACUACACAUGAACUCCUAUUAUGUUCAUCAACACAAUCGGUUGUAUUUUCAGAUUUUGAAGUAAUCACUGGAACCCCAUUUUAAUCAAUGCACACAUUGCGCAAGGAGCAUG